AUCACUAAGCGGAGGAAGAGAAACUAACCUGGAUUCCUGUAGUAACGGCGAGUGAAGUGGGAACUGCUCAGCACCGAAUCUUCUGCCUUUGUGGCAGCAGGAUGUGUGGUGUUCGGGAUGCCCUAUAGGUAUUUGCGUUUGCGUCCGAGUCCUCCUGAUCGGGGCUUUACCCACAGCGGGUGUCAGGCCUCUACUGGCGUGCGACGCAGUCCUUUAGACUAUCCCUCGAGUCGGGUUGUUUGGAAAUGCAGCCCAAAGUCGGUGGUAAACUCCAUCUAAAGCUGAAUACGGACGCGAGUCCGAUAGCGGA
rnacentral:rRNA from 1 species